rnacentral:rRNA from 1 species
CCUACGGGAGGCAGCAGUGGGGGAUAUUGCACAAUGGGCGGAACCCUGAUGCAGCGACGCCGCGUGGGUGAAGACGCGCCUCGGCGCGUAAAGCCCUGUCAGCAGGGAAGAAAAUGACGGUACCUGAAGAAGAAGCCCCGGCUAACUACGGGCCAGCAGCCGCUGUAAUACGUAGGGGGCACGCGUUAUCCGGAUUUACUGGGUGUAAAGGGGGCGCAGAGGGCGAUGCAAGCCAGGAGGGAAAGCCCGGGGGCCAACCCCGGGACUGCUCUUGGAACUGCGGGGCUGGAGUGGAGGAGGGGGAGGCGGAAUGCGUGGUGUAGCGGUGAAAUGCGUAGAUAUCAGGCGGAACACCGGUGGCGAAGGCGGCCUGCUGGACUGCAACUGACGUUGAGGCCCGAAAGCGUGGGGAGCGAACAGGAUUAGAUACCCUGGUAGUC